CCUCCUCCUGCUCUUCCCCCUCCCCAAACUCCCCCCCUCCGCCUGGCUCUCCGCGCAGCCGUGGGAUCUCGGAGGAGGGCGUCCAUUAGGCCGCGUGUGACCAUGUAAGGCUGCCAGGGCGCAGGAAGAGGCGCCCGAGGAGGAAGUGGCACACAAUGGAACCGAACAAAGGGGAGCGGCGCGGAGACAACGACCGGCGCCCGCCCCCCGCACGCAGUCCCCGCCCCGGUGCGCGCCGCCAGCCGUCCUCCCCUCGCUGGGACCCCACGCGGGGUCCGCGUCGGGAGGCCGACGCCCAGUUAGCGUCGAUCGAAAGGGGACAUUUCGCGGGAGUGGGAGUCAGAAUGGAAGGCGCCCGGACCGACGCGGGGCGCAGGCAGCUUCCGUGUCUCCCCAUGUGGCUUAGGGAGAGAGGUGUCUAGCGAGCUGCGGUGGUGAAGAGUCGGAACCGGAUCCGGCUCUGGAACUGGCACGUAGAACUAUCCAGAGAUACUCCUCUCUUAGAUGCAAACCCUGCACACGCACGUUUCUAGGGUCGACCAGUUGUUUGCUUGACCUUCCGUGGUCAGUGUGAUUCACGUUUCCCUGAAAUGUACCAUGAGCCAAGCCUACACCUUUGGAACGACUGCAGAAUUCGGUACUUCUUCAGAUGAGAAACUUAAUUUUACUCCUAAGAAAAGAAACCCAUCCACCUUAGUCGCCCUUCUCAGCCUUCUCUCCUUCUGACUCUGUGGGACUCCAUAUCAUAAUAUUUGUAAGAUUCUGCUUUAUAGAACGAGCAUAAUUUGAAAUUUAGUUCUUGCCAGGGGAAAUGAAACAAAUUACUGGGCUUGAGGAAAGUCUAAUUUAUUCGCUUUGUGAUGUCUGGAGUUCUGUUGGUUAGACCUACAGCAUCCGUUGUAGGAGAAUAAUUGGCAGAGUUACUGGAGUGUAUAUAAGACGUGCAAGGAUCUUAGUGCAUUUAGUAUGAGGUAUAUACACAUUAGUAGUGCUAGGGGAAUGAUGGUACAGAAAGGUUAAGCGGCUACAUGAAUAGGAUGAUAUCAUGAUAGCACACAUAUGUGUUAGCACAGGGCGUACUUCUCAUGAAGGCCUCUCUUUGAAAGGCCAGAUGGGCCUUUCCCAGAAGUAGAAAACCACUUAGAGCCAUCACAUCCCAGUUAAUGCGUUAACUUGAUCCUUAUGGUCACUGGUGCUGCUGCUUACUGGCCCUGUGACUGAGCUUCCUAGCUCGGACCCUCUGAUUACCCAUCUCAGAAAUAGAAAUAAUGGUAUCUGCCUCGCCUGGAUGUUGGGAAGAAUCAAAGUAAGGUUUGCAACUCACCUAGCAUAGUAUCUGGUGCUAUUAGGUAGAUGCUAAAUGUUAACCGUCAUUAUCUCCUGGCUUUGGCUAAGUAGACCAAAUAAGAUAUCUGAACUAAUGAGACCCAUGGAGGGGUGGUGGGAAGGGACAUACCAAAGUCUUAGAGACUAAGAGGAGCGGUAUAAGCCCCUUGCCAAUUUGUAAUAAGUAUUACGAAUGUAAUGUUCCUAUUGUGUGGGGGGAUGGGGAAGAGACCAUUGAAAAGCCCUGAGGCAGAAAACAAGUUCUCCAGUAAAUAGGGGAAGGAAAAGAACUUAGACCCAGGGAAACUCAAGAAGCCAAAGGCAAGGCAAGGCCAAAGCAUGUAAUUUGAUGUCUGAACUCAAGUGAACUUCAUUUCUGUUUUGUGCAUUACCCUCUUGCCAUUUUUGAACAAAAUAUGACAUUCUUGUUAACCUGUGAGUUCAAAGAUUAUACAGAUAAUAGUUAACUAGUUAAACACUUUCAGUAUGCCAGGCUGUAUGGGCACACAAACGAUUUUUAUAUGCAGCUCUUCAUUUCAUCCUCACGACAACCUGACGGAAGUAUUUUUGUAUCUCCAACUUUAUAGAUGAAAAUACACAGGCUUAGAAAUAGUUGGUCAAGGUCACACAACUGAGAAGGAACUGAGCAGAGGUUCAAAUCCAGGAGCAUCUGACUUUCAAGACUUUGCUUUGCCUAGGGGUCUGUGUGCAGUGAAAGACUUAAGUUUCUUGUUUUAAGUCAAGAUGUGUUUACAAAAAUGCUUCAGUGUGGAGAAGGGGGGCUUCCUUUGAGGUUUUUCUCCUUGUAAAUAUCAACCAUACAACUUACAGAACUCAACCAAAAUCUCACAGUGUCAGUCUGAAAGACCUCAUUAUGACUCUCUUCAAAGCUUUAUGGAACAUUUUAGAAUUCAUUCUAAGAGAUUUGUGCCACAAGGCACUCCUAAAGUCACAUUUCAAAAAGCUACUUUUUAUAGCCUAGAGACCCUAGUUUCACAUUGCAAAACGCAUACAAAGAAUCUGAAUGUACAGAAUAAUCAACAAAUUAAGAUCACAAGGGAACUUUGGCGGUCAAACAAACCAAAAAUAAACAUCACCACUUUAAGCACCAUAUAUUGAAUGCCCUCUCUGGAUCAGGCAUUUUAGACAUGUUCUCAUCCGAUCUUCACCACGAUCUUGUGAGGGAGCUGUCCCUGCUCCAUUUUCACAGAUGAAGGUAUGCAAAUUCAGAGGGUACAUAAUUUGCCCAUUACCAUAUGUCUGUUAGGUGGUACAAACCAAUUCAAAUAUAGGUCUGAUUCCAAGAUGACUCCAGAGUCUGUGACCUCUACACACGUUGCCUUAGGAGACACUGAUACUACUGUGAAUGAUAUCACCCUUUGAAAGUUAUCCCGUAGGAAACACCUAAGAGUAAAUAAUGUUUGCCUCCCCCACCCCACAAAACUAAGAAUUGAGGACGUUUUAUGAACAACAUAGUAAAAAUCUGAUAUGUAAAUAGACGCAACCGAGACAUCAGACUGUUUCUACUAGAAAAGUCUUGUUCAUUAGUAUAGGAAGUCCUUAUUAGCCAUGUGUGAUUAGCGCUGGUAAAGCCUCCUAAAAAUAAAUCUACUUAAAGCAGGGGCCAAAUCUCAGAGCAGCUGGUGAAAAGUAGACUUCACCUGAAAAUAAAACUCGACGUUAUUAGAAUACGUUUAUCUUUUAUUGAACAAAAUUUAUGUUGUAAGUACCACUAUGCUAAUUUUAGAAUGAAUAAACAAUAAAUCAAGAUUA